CCGUUCUGCGGAGAAAAGGCAUGCUGGGGGCCUCGCCGAACCGCCCAGACUCUUCAGGGAAAAGGUCAGUGAAGUUUAACAAGGGCUAUACUGCUCUUAGCCAGAGUCCAGAUGAAAACCUGGUGUCCCUCGACUCUGACAGGCCCUUCAUGUACAUUCCAGGGCCGUUCUCUUCUGAACAAUAUCCCUUCCCAGGAUGGCUUGGUUAGAAGACUCAUAGUGAUGGGGAGCUGGGAUCCAGAUACUCCUCCGGGUAUUCAUCUGCAGAGGUGAACCAGGAUGUGAGCCGGCAGCUGCUUCAGGAUGGGUAUCACCUGGAUGAGAUUCCAGAUGACGAGGACUUGGACCUCAUCCCCCCUAAGCCCAUGGCCUCUUCAACAUGCUCCUGCUGCUGGUGCUGUCUUGGGGACUCUUCUUCCUGUACCCUCCAGUAGACAUUACCCUCCAAG
rnacentral:lncRNA from 1 species